rnacentral:rRNA from 1 species
AGAGUUUGAUCAUGGCUCAGGACGAACGCUGGCGGCGUGCUUAACACAUGCAAGUCGAGCGACAGUGUUCUUCGGAACAUAUGGAGCGGCGAACGGGUGAGUAACACGUGGGCAACCUGCCCUCAGCUCUGGGAUAACUCCGGGAAACCGGGGCUAAUACCGGAUAUGACCUUCCUCUGCAUGGGGGUUGGUGGAAAGUUCUUCGGCUGAGGAUGGGCCCGCGGCCUAUCAGCUUGUUGGUGGGGUCACGGCCCACCAAGGCGACGACGGGUAGCCGGCCUGAGAGGGCGACCGGCCACACUGGGACUGAGACACGGCCCAGACUCCUACGGGAGGCAGCAGUGGGGAAUAUUGCGCAAUGGGCGGAAGCCUGACGCAGCGACGCCGCGUGAGGGAUGAAGGCCUUCGGGUUGUAAACCUCUUUCAGCAGGGACGAAGCGAGAGUGACGGUACCUGCAGAAGAAGCACCGGCCAACUACGUGCCAGCAGCCGCGGUAAUACGUAGGGUGCAAGCGUUGUCCGGAAUUAUUGGGCGUAAAGAGCUCGUAGGCGGUCUGUCGCGUCGGCUGUGAAAUCUCGGGGCUCAACCCCGAGCCUGCAGUCGAUACGGGCAGACUAGAGUGCUGUAGGGGAGACUGGAAUUCCUGGUGUAGCGGUGAAAUGCGCAGAUAUCAGGAGGAACACCGGUGGCGAAGGCGGGUCUCUGGGCAGUAACUGACGCUGAGGAGCGAAAGCGUGGGGAGCGAACAGGAUUAGAUACCCUAGUAGUCC